GAUGAACGCUGACAGAAUGCUUAACACAUGCAAGUCAACUUGAAUUUGGGUUUUUAACUUAGGUUUGGGUGGCGGACGGGUGAGUAACGCGUAAAGAACUUGCCUCACAGCUAGGGACAACAUUUGGAAACGAAUGCUAAUACCUAAUAUUAUGAUAAUAGGGCAUCCUAUAAUUAUGAAAGCUAUAAGCGCUGUGAGAGAGCUAUGCGUCCCAUUAGCUAGUUGGAGAGGUAACGGCUCACCAAGGCGAUGAUGGGUAGCCGGCCUGAGAGGGUGAUCGGCCACAAGGGGACUGAGACACGGCCCUUACUCCUACGGGAGGCAGCAGUGGGGAAUAUUGGACAAUGGACCAAGAGUCUGAUCCAGCAAUUCUGUGUGCACGAUGAAGUUUUUCGGAAUGUAAAGUGCUUUCAGUUGGGAAGAAAGAAAUGACGGUACCAACAGAAGAAGUGACGGCUAAAUACGUGCCAGCAGCCGCGGUAAUACGUAUGUCACGAGCGUUAUCCGGAUUUAUUGGGCGUAAAGCGCGUCUAGGUGGUUAUAUAAGUCUGAUGUGAAAAUGCAGGGCUCAACUCUGUAUUGCGUUGGAAACUGUAUAACUAGAGUACUGGAGAGGUAAGCGGAACUACAAGUGUAGAGGUGAAAUUCGUAGAUAUUUGUAGGAAUGCCGAUGGGGAAGCCAGCUUACUGGACAGAUACUGACGCUGAAGCGCGAAAGCGUGGGUAGCAAACAGG
rnacentral:rRNA from 1 species